rnacentral:rRNA from 1 species
AUUGAACGCUGGCGGCAAGCCUAACACAUGCAAGUCGAACGCGUGGCGGACGGGUGAGUAAUGUCUGGGAAACUGCCUGAUGGAGGGGGAUAACUACUGGAAACGGUAGCUAAUACCGCAUACCAUCGGAUGUGCCCAGAUGGUAUGAGCUAGUAGGUGGUGUAAAGGCUCACCUCGGCGACGAUCCCUAGCUGGUCUGAGCGGAUGACCAUCCAGAAUGGAACUAAGACACGGUCCAGACGCCUACGGUAGGCAGCAGUGGGGAAUAUUGCACAAAGGGCGCAAGCCUUAUGCAGCCAUGCCGCGUGUAUGACGAAGGCCUUCGGGUUGUAAAGUACUUUCAGCGAGGAGGCGUUACCCGCAUAAGAAGCACCGGCUAACUCCGUGCCAGCAGCCGCGGUAAUUC